rnacentral:rRNA from 1 species
CUACGGGGGGCAGCAGUGAGGAAUAUUGCACAAUGGGGGGAACCCUGAUGCAGCAACGCCGCGUGGAGGAUGACGCAUUUCGGUGUGUAAACUCCUUUUAUAUGUCAAGAAAAUGACGGUAGCAUAUGAAUAAGCACCGGCUAACUCCGUGCCAGCAGCCGCGGUAAUACGGAGGGUGCAAGCGUUACUCGGAAUCACUGGGCGUAAAGGACGCGUAGGCGGGUUGGAAAGUCAGGUGUGAAAUCCUACAGCUUAACUGUAGAACUGCAAUUGAAACUUCUAAUCUAGAGUAUGGGAGGGGGAGAUGGGAUUAGUGGUGUAGGGGUAAAAUCCGUAGAUAUCACUAGGAAUACCUAAAGCGAAGGCGAUCUCCUGGAACAUUACUGACGCUAAGGCGUGAAAGCGUGGGGAGCAAACAGGAUUAGAUACCCCGGUAGUC